rnacentral:rRNA from 1 species
AGGAUAAACGCUGGCGGCGUGCCUAACACAUGCAAGUCGAACGUCCUUGCGGUCUUCUUCUUCGGAGGAGGACCGCGAGGGAGUGGCGGACGGGUGAGUAACACAUGGGUACCUGCCUUUCAGUGAGGAAUACCGGCGAGAAAUCGCCGACAAGACCGCAUAGGCUUCCUUCGGUAGCCCGAGGGAAGCAAAGUUACUUCGCGAGAGGUGACGCUGGAAGAGGGGCCUGUGGCCGAUUAGCUAGUUGGGGGGUAACGGCCUCCCAAGGCGACGAUCGGUAGCUGGUCUGAGAGGACGAUCAGCCACACUGGGAUUGAGAACGGCCCAGACUCCUACGGGGGGCAGGCAGUGAGGAAUUUUCCGCAAUGGACGAAAGUCUGACGGAGCAACGCCGCGUGCAGGAGGAAGGUUUUCGGAUCGUAAACUGCUUUUCUCGGGGACGAGCAAGGACGGUACCCGAGGAAGAAGCCCCGGCUAACUACGUGCCAGCAGCCGC